rnacentral:rRNA from 1 species
GAUGAACGCUGGCGGCGUGCCUAAUACAUGCAAGUCGAGCGAACAGACGAGGAGCUUGCUCCUCUGACGUUAGCGGCGGACGGGUGAGUAACACGUGGAUAACCUACCUAUAAGACUGGGAUAACUUCGGGAAACCGGAGCUAAUACCGGAUAAUAUAUUGAACCGCAUGGUUCAAUAGUGAAAGACGGUUUUGCUGUCACUUAUAGAUGGAUCCGCGCCGCAUUAGCUAGUUGGUAAGGUAACGGCUUACCAAGGCGACGAUGCGUAGCCGACCUGAGAGGGUGAACGCCCACACGGAGACUGAGCCCCGGUCCAGACCCCUAGGGGGGGCAACAGUAGGGAAUCUUCCGCAGAGGGCGAAAGCCUGAGGGAGCAACGGCGUGUGGGUGAUGAAGGUCUUGGUAUAGAAAAACUCUUUUAUGGGGGAAGAAAAAAUGUGUAAAUAACUAUGCCCGUCUUGAGGGUACAAAAACAAAAAGCCCCGGCUAACUACGGC